CGGAAAGAGGAAGUCCAGCAGCCUUGCCUGGAGCUUGGAGUAUGGCUUACAGCCGCGAGCGUAACCUCUGACGGUCGUAGGGUGCGUGCAUCGAACUAAUGAGCAAAGUAACAACAACGGAAGGGAGAGGAAGAGGCACUUCUGGAUGGAAGAGAGAAGGCCCAGGAACCACAGCUCCUGAGCCCAUGACCCAAAGCUACUGAAGUCCAUGCACCCUAGAUGCUGUGUUCUGCAACAAGAGAAGCCACUGCAACGAGAAGCCCACUCGCUGCAAUUAAAGAAAAGCCUGCACAGCAGUGAAGACCCAGCACAGCCACACAUAAGUUGUCAGCAAGGGUCUGUCUGAAGGAUCAACACUGAAGCUCAGACCCCACCCCAAAUUCCUCCCACAUGAUAAUAAUCUAUUUGCAAGCUUGGCCCCCACAGGAGGUUGAAACAGUAUAGUGUCCUGGAAAAAAAAUCGCAGUGUUCGGAAUAAGCGAAGCCGGGGUUCUACUCCCAGCCCUGUUCCUUCUCAACUUCCUGCUGAAUGAAAACCACCACCACCACCAGAGAGCAGUGGUGAGAACCGUGUGAAACCUGCUUGCCCAGAGUUCUCGCCCCAGAGACUUCGAGAGAAAGAAGUCUCGUCCUGAGCUCCUGCCCCCUGGCCUGCUUCCACUGCCUGUGGCCUGGAGGACCAUCCUCGUCCUCAUAUCUCAUCUUGACAGUCUGUGCCUGUCACCAGCCUCCUCUCCUCCUCACCCUUCACCAUACCCCACUGUCUGGAAGGUCCUACCCCCUUACCACCCCAGUUAAGGGCAGUGGGUCUAGGGAAAUCCCUGGCAGUCCAGUGAUUAAACUAGGUACUCUUACUGUGGUGGCCCAGUUUCAAUCCUUGGUCAGGGAACUAAGAUCCUGCAAGCUGUGCAGAGCAGCCAAAAAAAAA